rnacentral:rRNA from 1 species
GAUGAACGCUGGCGGCGUGCCUAAUACAUGCAAGUCGAGCGAACGGACGAGAAGCUUGCUUCUCUGAUGUUAGCGGCGGACGGGUGAGUAACACGUGGAUAACCUACCUAUAAGACUGGGAUAACUUCGGGAAACCGUAGCUAAUACCGGAUAAUAUUUUGAACCGCAUGGUUCAAAAGUGAAAGACGGUCUUGCUGUCACUUAUAGAUGUAUCCGCGCUGCAUUAGCUAGUUGGUAAGGUAACGGCUUACCAAGGCAACGAUGCAUAGCCGACCUGAGAGGGUGAUCGGCCACACUGGAACUGAGACACGGGCCAGACUCCGACGGGAAGCAGCAGUAGGAAAUCUUCCGCAAUGGGCGAAAGCCUGACGGAGCAACGCCGCGUGAGUGAUGAAGGUCUUCGGAUCGUAAAACUCUGUUAUUAGGGAAGAACAUAUGUGUAAGUCACUGUGCACAUCUUGACGGUACCUAAUCAGAAAGCCACGGCUAACUACGUG